rnacentral:rRNA from 1 species
GCAACCCCUCGAGAGUGGCGAACGGGUGAGUAAUAUAUCGGAACGUGCCCAGUCGUGGGGGAUAACGUAGCGAAAGUUACGCUAAUACCGCAUACGAUCUACGGAUGAAAGCGGGGGAUCGCAAGACCUCGCGCGAUUGGAGCGGCCGAUAUCAGAUUAGGUAGUUGGUGGGGUAAAGGCUCACCAAGCCAACGAUCUGUAGCUGGUCUGAGAGGACGACCAGCCACACUGGAACUGAGACACGGUCCAGACUCCUACGGGAGGCAGCAGUGGGGAAUUUUGGACAAUGGACGCAAGUCUGAUCCAGCCAUUCCGCGUGCAGGAUGAAGGCCCUCGGGUUGUAAACUGCUUUUGUACGGAACGAAAAGGUUUCUAUUAAUACUAGGAGCUCAUGACGGUACCGUAAGAAUAAGCACCGGCUAACUACGUGCCAGCAGCCGCGGUAAUACGUAGGGUGCAAGCGUUAAUCGGAAUUACUGGGCGUAAAGCGUGCGCAGGCGGUUAUAUAAGACAGAUGUGAAAUCCCCGGGCUCAACCUGGGAACUGCAUUUGUGACUGUAUAGCUAGAGUACGGUAGAGGGGGAUGGAAUUCCGCGUGUAGCAGUGAAAUGCGUAGAUAUGCGGAGGAACACCGAUGGCGAAGGCAAUCCCCUGGACCUGUACUGACGCUCAUGCACGAAAGCGUGGGGAGCAAACAGGA